AUUGAUAUUGCAAAACAGAUCGGCGGCACAGAACUUUAAAUACUUUUGUAUGCGUGUUAUUUUAAGUAUUUACUGUGUCUAUUCACAUCCUCAACUAUUUUGCUGAUACACAUUUGGAUUUAAUAUGCAUCUUUGGAUCUUUGUAUUCAUUUCACUGGGGCUACUUCUAAGAAAAAGUCCAUCUACCUUUGGACAAGUUGAGCGAAGUGCCACUUGUAGAUUGUCAGCAAUGUUUAUCGCGUCUCGAAGCAUCUUCGCAUCUUCUACCAAAAACGAGAUAUUCUUCAGUCCAGAGAGCUUAUCUUGAAACUGCCUCUUGAGUGUCGCAAGAGUGCCGGGUUCUACUGGUGAGGUGAAAUUGUUUGCAGACAAAGACUGAUUGCUUCCAAGUGCUUGCAAGUCCGGUGGUGAUCCCUCUGGAGUUACGUCUGGAGUUUCAGGUGGAUCUACUGUAUUCUUUAUGGAAGUUGGUGGAUUGAUUAGCAAACCGUCAGUAUCUAGUGUAAUAAAGACGCUUUCUCGAUAGGCCAAAGACAAGCUCGAAAAUUGCCACUUGGAAAAGAAAUUAAAGAUCGCAAAGAAAUGCUUGCAUGGAAAAGUGGAUUGCCUCCAAGAUUCGCAUGUGCAGCUCGGAAAUGAGAAUUUAACCAGGUAGCUCAGUUUCUUGUUUGAACUUUUGACCAGAAACUUCCCUUGUUGAUCGUUUAAACAAGUAAUGUCCUUUUCCUGGAUCUCCUGGGCAGCGAAUUUAUUUUUAAGACAAUGUUUAACGAAGUUUGGUGGACGGUUUUGCAGGUAGUCAUGAACAAUCGCGUUGUACUUUCGGUAUGAACCGCUCAAACGUAAGUUAGCACUUAGGUAGGUUUGAUAUGAAUCUGGCAGGAAAGAACAUACAAUCAUGACGACGAUGCCGUAGAGUGAUUUGUCAAUGGAUCUGGAGCAUUGAUUGGCGAAGCUUGGAUAACUCGUCGUUAUACUGCGCCUCUGUUGCAACUCUGCCAAUUGUUGUCAUUGAUUUCUGGAGAAACUCUUGGUCACUCUGAUCA